rnacentral:rRNA from 1 species
ACGUAGGGGGCAAGCGUUAUCCGGAUUUACUGGGUGUAAAGGGAGCGUAGACGGUAAAGCAAGUCUGAAGUGAAAGCCCGGAGCUCAACCCCGGGACUGCUUUGGAAACUGUUUAACUAGAGUGCUGGAGAGGUAAGCGGAAUUCCUAGUGUAGCGGUGAAAUGCGUAGAUAUUAGGAGGAACACCAGUGGCGAAGGCGGCUUACUGGACAGUAACUGACGUUGAGGCUCGAAAGCGUGGGGAGCAAACAG